UGAGACAGAAUGCAGAGCCAUCCUUCACUAAGACAGAAUUUGCUCUUCUUGCCCUCUUCUCCAGUUUCUCCCCUUGUGUGUAACAGGGACUAUGUUCCAGCAUAACAGCAGGAGAUACACUCAGGCUGAGAAGGGAGAUAAAGGGGCCGCAGGAGUUUUUGCGCAGUGAACUUGCUACGAGGAUGGCUUCUAGAAGCAUGAAAGGAAGCUAUGGCCCAUGCUGAGUGAGGUUGAAAUUGCUGGAUCGCUGACAGAUGGCAGCUGAAGGCUAAACCACUCAGGGAUUGUGAAGCUGGGAUACAUAUGAUGACUUUCUAAGGGUAAGAACUCUCAUGAUUGUGGAGGCCAAGUGGAGGCCUCUGUACCUGUUUCCAUCCGUGGUGAAGAUAGUAAGUAUAAAACAAUAUCACAAUCUAGGAGGAAUGACGGAUAUUCUUAUUACUCUUUUGUUGUUUUGUUUUGUUUGGUGUUUUUUUUUAUUCCUUUUUUUAAAAAGCGAUUUUAUUUUUUUAUUCACAAGAGACAGAGAGAGAGAGGCAGAGACAUAGGCAGAGGGAGGAGAAGCAGGCUCCAUGCAGGGAGUCCAAUGUGGGACUGGAUCCUGGGAUUCCAGGAUCACGCCCUGAGCCAAAUGCAAAUGCUCAACUACUGAGCCACCCAGGCAUCCCUAAUUUUAUUCCUCUUACGGAUAUAAAGGACUCAAGUGAUGGUCUGCGUCAUAUUUCCAUUUAAUUCACCUGUCUACCCCUGCAGAAACCAGAUUCAUCCUGGAGGUUGGCCGAAAUUUCCAUAAAUUCACCCAGAUAGUAGCCCCAACUGAGGCUGCUAUGCCAGAUGUACUCUCUUUGCUCAAGCCAGAUUCAUGACUUCUCAGGUACAUGGUAUACAAAUAUUAGUUGGCAAAUGUGUUUCUUUCUACCCCUAUCAGAUACCGUUUAGAUUCACAUGGAACAGACAACAGUAUGCAUUUCACAUUGCUCCAGGGUUGUACCUUUCCAGUCUGUCAUUGUUCACAAACCACCUGGGUAUCUGAAGAACAUUGUACCAAUUUGCUUCUCUGAUAGGUUGUUAAUGGAGUUAGAUUACAGGAAAUGUCUGGCACAUUGGAAGCCUUGGUAAGAAACGUGCAUUCCAUUGAUGGAGAAGAUGCCUGUGAGAUUCAAGGAUCUGCCACAUGAGAACAAUUUUGAGUGCCCCAACAGUUGGGGACAUGCUGGGUCCUAUCAUCCAAAGUAAAACAUGAGUUAUACCACUUGAACCUCCUGCAGAGAAGGAAGCACAAUGCCUGAGAGGACUUUUCUGGUUUUGGAGACAACAUAUUCCACAUCUCAGAACACUUCUCUGCCUUGUAUACCAGGUGACACAAAAGACUGCCGCUUAAAAAAGAAAAAAAGAUUUUAUUUAUUAAAGAAGGAGAGCACAGGGGAGGAGCAGAGGGAGAGGGAGAAGCAGGUUCCCUGCUGAGCACGGAUCCCAAGACAGGGCACGAUCCCAGGACAUUGAGAUCACAACUUGAGCCAAAGUUCCCAAUGCAGGGCUCCAUCCUAGGACCUUGAGAUCACAACCUGACCAAAGUCAGACUCUUAACUGACUGAACCCAAAAAGACUUUGACUUUUGAGUGUAUCCCAGAAUAGGAAAGUUCUCUGCAGAGCAGCAGAGUCUAAGCUGCAGUUGAAAGCAGCCUUGUUGCUUGGGCAUAAGUCUGAGCCGAUCUCAGAGGAUUGGGUGUAUAAUGGGUAGGGAAUGGUACCUUCCAGGACUCUGGAGCAAGCCCAUGCUGUCCACAGAGGUGGCUCGGAUAUGUUUCAUAAAGCCGUUCCUGUAAUGCUGCUGGGCCCUGGUGGAAGACCGUUGGACAUGAUAUGACCGCAUGCCCAGAACUGCUUGUUGUGAGGUUGGUGGAGAUGAGUGGACAAGACCCUCUCAAUCUCUUGGAUCUUGCAGCACAGAGCCUGCGGAAUGACAAGGCCUCAGCUGUACGUGCCCUGGAAGAGCACCCUGUGGGCCUUUUCCCAACUCUGUCCACAGUAGCCUUUGAUGGGGGAUACACGAAGACUGUGACAGCAAUGGUGCAGGCCUGGCCCUUUCCCUGCCUCCAUCUGGGACUGUUAAGAUUUCAGUCAAGAACUCAAGACCUCUUGGAAGCCGUCCUGGAUGGGCUGGAGUUGGUUCCUCCCCACGCUGCUUGGCCCAGGAGAUCAAAGCUGAAGGUGCUGGAUUUCACCCAUGACUCCAUCUGGGAGGAGUGCUCGGAGGCUACUCCUGCACCCUUUGUCAUCACACACAUGCUAGAAGAGCCAGAGGCGGACCAGCUGACACCCAGUUCGAAAGAACAGCCUCAGCAUCACCAAGAACCCGAGGAAAUGCAUACAGACCUUCUCCUAUGUGGUUUGUUCGGCUUCUUCCACCUGUCUGGGUUCCCCUUGUACAUACUCCAGAGAGUCGAGAGAGCCAUGGCGGUCUGCACCUCCACUGUCAGACACUGGUCAUUGACCAAGUGCCAUUCCUCAGCCUUGUAGAGAUCUGGAGAUGCUGGAGCUGGAGACCAUCCGAGAGCUGAGGCUUCAUCACAGGAGUAGGUUCUGCUCCCAGACGGACCUAAUGCAGUUCCUCACCCAGGUAGGGCAAAUGAGCAACCUGGGCAACCUCAUCAUGAACGACAUCCCCUGGGAUUUCCCUGCAGACUGUUUCUCUUUGCUGAGUCCACUGGGCCGCCUCCAGAAGCUCCAUCUCAUCUUUGGCUGUCUCUUGGGUCAGCUGCAUAAGAUGCUGAGUGAGUGUGCGACAAGUCCCUCUGAAGGGCCAGGGGCCAGGAUCCCUGGAGUCGUCCCUGAACCCCGCUGCGUCGGAGCAGAGACAAGCCUGGAUUUCCAAUCCUGUGAGGCCGCAGAGUCACUGAGGACACAGACUGCAAGGCUGACGUCCUGGACCAGCCAGUGGCUGUCGAUUGCUAUAGAAGAGAAAGAUGCAGUGGCCUGCAAAACCACUGGAGACGCUGAUGAUCAAUGGAUGCAGGCUCAUUGAGAAUGACAUCACCUACUUGUCCCAGAGCAUUCAUGCCACCCGCCUGAAGGAGUUGGUUCUCUGUGGCAAUAACCUGUCCCACACGGUUCCUGGGCCCCUCCAGGUUCUGCUGGGGGAGGUGUCCGGCACUCUACAGCAUCUGAACUUGCGCAGCUGCCGGCUGAAGGAAGCCCAGCUCGGAACCCUGCUUGCCUGCUCUGUGCUGCUGCUCGAGCCUCCCCUCGCUCGUGUUCUACGACAAUGUCAUCUCCACAUCAGGCAUCACGAACGUGCUUUAACACUUAGGAGAGUUGAAGGAGCUUAAGUGUGUGCAGUCCCCUAUUCCUGCUGAAUGUGUUGUAUACUUGGAUGAAUACAGGUGGGGGAAGCUCAACAGAGUGGAACUUGCCCGGGUGCAGGCCAAGUUGCAGGAAAUGUUGCAAGCACCACAGCGGGCCGACAUGGAGUCAACUAAUUCUACCUCAGUGGCCUGACAAUGAAAACGCACAGCUGACCUGAUGGGGAACAGGAGCAGCAUCUGUCCUGGAGCUGUGGUAGUGGAUUUCCCGGAUGGUGUGGCUUUAAGGAAAACUAUCAAAACAAAAAAACACAACCAACGCUCUUGUGGGGACUGCUGUUUCUGGAUCCAGCUGGGGCUCAAUUCUUCAUGAAAUUGACAAGCACUGGUCAAACAUGGACACUGUGCAAGUGUUCUAAUGCUGCGUAUAAAAGGACAACUUCGCCUGACACUGGUAGUUCUAGUCUGUUUACCCAGUUUCCCUUCCAUUUUGCUUUAGUAUUCCCACUUUGAACAGCACACUGUUGGGUGAGUUACUUCUCAAAACAUUAGUUUAUAAAGUGAGGUCAUUGAAAUGUUCAUCAAAGGAACAGGUGUACGUGAUACGAUCAGCACGGAGCAUUCAUUCAGCUAUUUAUUCAAAUAUUUGUUGACUUCCUGUUUUGUUCAGAAACUGCUCUCACCGGGAAGACGGUGUAAACAUUCGGGGUGUCUGCUCUCGAAGAACUUUGCUUUGAAAGAGCAUGGGGACCACUAAACCAAGUCAGCAGACCUGUUAGAAAGCUGGUUUCAACGGAGCACUGUAAGAAUGACAGAAGGAAUACCAGUAUGAUUGGGGUUAUUGGAGUUAGGAGCACUAUGAGAUGAUUGAGAAUAUGUAUCAGUCUCUUCCCUCAGUUGCUGGCACAGAGCUCCUGAAACCUUAUCAUUUCCUAAGUAAUAACACUAGGAACAUCCUCCAUUCCAACAUUUGGUCUUUGACCCCAUCCCUGACAGAGGGCUUUUGUUUUUUUAAGAUUUUAUUUAUUCAUGAGAGACACAGAGAGUGAGAGGCAGAGAGAAGCAGGCUUCCAUCCAGGGAGCCCGAUGUGGGACUGGAUCCUGGGACACUAGGACCACGCCCUGGGCAAAAGGCAGGGCUAACCCACUGAGCCACCCAGGAGUCCCCAGAGGGCUCUUGAAAGCUUUAUAAAUUCCUAAGUGAUAAGAGUGCUAGGAUCACCUUUGUUUUAAUGAGGUGGCUCAGGCUGUGCUCUCAGAUGGCUCCCGGAUGGGGCUGGUCCCCAGAAAGAUGAGGCCAUGAUUACAAGCUUGGAAUUUUUGGCCCCAUCCCUCAUCUUUCAGAGUAGGGAAGAGGGGCUGGAAAUGGAAUGAGUUGAUCAUGCCUACGUGAGGAAACCUCCCUAAAACCCCAGUCAUAGGGGAUUUGCAGAGCUUCCACAUGGAUGUACCCCAACACCACAAGGACAGAAACUCCUGCACGUCCUC